rnacentral:rRNA from 1 species
ACGUAGGGACCAAGCGUUGUUCGGAUUUACUGGGCGUAAAGGGCGCGUAGGCGGCAAUUCAAGUCAGCUGUGAAAUCUCCGGGCUUAACUCGGAACGGUCAGCUGAUACUGCUUUGCUAGAGUGCAGAAGGGGCAAUCGGAAUUCUUGGUGUAGCGGUGAAAUGCGUAGAUAUCAAGAGGAACACCUGAGGUGAAGACGGGUUGCUGGGCUGACACUGACGCUGAGGCACGAAAGCGUGGGUAGCAAACAGGA